GCAGCAGGCACGCAAAUUACCCACUCCCGGCACGGAGAGGUAGUGACAAAAAAUAACGAUACGGGACUCUAUUGAGGCCCCGUAAUCGGAAUGAGUACACUUUAAAUCCUUUAACCAGGAUCGAUUGGAGGGAAAGUCUGGUGCCAGCAGCCGCGGUAAUUCCAGCUCCAAUAGCGUAUAUUAAAGUUGUUGCAGUUAAAAAGCUCGUAGUUGGUUUUGCGUGCCACGCUGUCGGUUCGCCGCCUGUCGGUGAAACUGGCAUGCCGUGGUACGUCCUGCCGGUGGUAAACGGUUACCUGGCGUGUGGCUUAGAACUUCUGUUUUUUGUCGCUGCCUUUGUGUAAUCGUUUGCCGAUUUUAUCCUACCCGGUGCUCUUAAACGAGUGUCGAGGUAGGCCGGCAAAUUUACUUUGAACAAAUUAGAGUGCUUCAUGCAGGCUUGAAAUAUAGCCUGAAUAGUGGUGCAUGGAAUAAUAGAAUAGGACCUCGGUUCUAUUUUGUUGGUUUUCGGAACUCAAGGUAAUGAUCAAUGUGGACAAGCGGGGGCAUUCGUAUUGCGGCGUUAGAGGUGAAAUUCUUGGAUCGUCGCAAGACGCACAAGAGCGAAAGCAAUUGCCAAGUAUGUCUUAAUUGAUCAAGAACGAAAGUUAGAGGUUCGAAGGCGAUCAGAUACCGCCCUAGUUCUAACCAUAAACGAUGCCAGCCAGCGAUCCGACGUGUUCAUAUUAUGACACGUGCGGGCAGCUUCUUCCCGGGAAACCAAAGCUUUUGGGUUCCGGGGGAAGUAUGGUUGCAAAGCUGAAACUUAAAGGAAUUGACGGAAGGGCACCACCAGGAGUGGAGCCUGCGGCUUAAUUUGACUCAACACGGGAAACCUCACCAGGUCAGGACAUUGUAAGGAUUGACAGAUUGAUAGCUCUUUCUUGAUUCAGUGGGUAGUGGUGCAUGGCCGUUC
rnacentral:rRNA from 1 species